rnacentral:rRNA from 1 species
UACGUGAGGGGCGAACGUUGUUCGGUGUCACUGGGCUUAAAGGGUGCGUAGGUGGUUGCGUAAGUAAGGUGUGAAAGCCCUCGGCUUACCCGGGGAAUUGCGCCUUAUACUGCGUGGCUUGAGGAUUUCAGGGGAAUGGGGAACUCCAGGUGUAGCGGUGAAAUGCGCAGAUAUCUGGGGGAAGGCCGGCGGCGAAGGCGCCAUUCUGGGAAAUUCCUGACACUGAGGCACGAAAGCGUGGGGAGCAAAUAGG